UUGUAUCAAUGUAUUUGAAGAAACUGAUAAAACAAACAUCAAAACAUUGAAAAGUAUUAAAAGUACAUCCAGAAUCCUUAAGGAGGAGGAGACGUUCAGUAUUGAGGAACUGUGGUUCAGUCAGACUCCUCCUCAGAGCCCCUCCCACUGCAGUCAUUUAUCUAUUCAGUGUUUUUUAUCAUUUAUCACAUUUAGUUUAGUGCACAUGUAUAAACCUUAAAGAAAGAUACACAGCUAACCUUAAACCAUUAUCAAAACCUGUUUAAACUGAGGAAUCAACAUGGACAGAUAUCUACUAGUGAUUGCCAUUACAGUUUCAGGUGCAUUUGCUGAUAGCAUUGGUCCAGUUGACAAGGACACUAAUAUGAUCAUUAGAGAAGGAGAGUCUGUGACACUGAGAUGCUCAUAUGAUGCUAGCAGCAAUUAUGUCUAUCUUUACUGGUACAGACAGUAUCCAAACAGAGAACCAGAAUAUUUACUGUAUAAAGGUGCUCGAGCAUACAACUCUGAUUUUUAUUCUGAUAUACCGGACCGUCGGUUUCAGUCGACAACAUCUCAAUCAUCCACUGAACUCACUAUUAACAGUGUGACUCUGUCAGAUUCAGCUCUCUAUUAUUGUGCUCUAAGAGUUGAAGCCCAGUGAUACAAAGUGCCUGAGACGCUUUACAAAAACUCACAUCUCAAAUUCUUGCUUUAAAAGCCAGUUAUCAAAUGUUUAUCACACCACAUUUAUAUUUCUAAACCACUGGGACUGUAUGUGGUAACACCUGUUGAACAAUUCUGGAGUAAUGAAGAGAGAGGAGAAGAAAGGAUAUGACAUCACACUAGAAGAACUUGUUGUAUGGGAUGUUUAUCCACCUUAUCUUGCAAAGAGGAUGAGACCAGAAACCCGACACAUUCAAGUUACAAAUGGCCAUACGCACAUUUUUUAUGUUAAAAAUAAGGUGAACGCAGUUUGUUUAUGUCAUGUUUUAAAGCUAUUCCUGAACAUAACUCUAUACGG